rnacentral:rRNA from 1 species
CUUGGGGGAAUCGAUAGCAAUUGCUAUUAGCACUAAAAAUUUUAGUGUAAAAUCGACUUGGAAAAAAAUUCAGGGCAGAAUUAUGAUAAUGACAUUAUCUGUCCAACAGGCUUGACCAAAUCACGUGCCAGCAGUCGCGGUAAUACGUUAAAGACAAGUGUUAUUCAUCUUUAUUGGGUUUAAAGGGUACUUAGACAGCGAAUCAAGCCUCUAUAAAUGUACUAGUUUGCUAGAGUUUUAUGGGGAAGAGUAUUAAAGUACUACUGGUGGAGAGAUGAAAUUCUGUCAUACCUUAGAUGGCACAGAUUAUGGUGAAGGCAUCUUUUUAUGUAAAAACUGACGUUGAAGGACGAAGGCUUUGUGUCUCAAAGAGGAUUAGUUACCCUAGUAGUCUAAGCAGAAAAUGAUGAAUGUCAUAGAUUAGAUUUAAUUUGAUCUAUAAAUGAAAGUGUAAGCAUUCCACCUCAAGAGUAAUUUGGCAACAUUGGAACUGAAAUCAUUAGACCGUUUCUGAAACCAGUAGUGAUGUAUGUUGUUUAAUUUGAUAACCCGCAAAAAACCUUACCACAACUUGAAUAGAUAUUUUAUAUCAUACAGGCGUUGCACGGCUGUUUUUAGUUAAUGUCGUAAGAUUUUGGUUCGUUCCAUAAAUUAACGUAAACCCUUACUUUAUUUUUAUAUGGAGUAGUUCACCGCUAGAUUGGAUGUGAUAAGAGGGAUCAAGACAAGUUAUCGUGACCUAAAUACUGUGGGCA